AAGUCGUAACAAGGUUUCCGUAGGUGAACCGCGGAAGGAUCAUUACCGAGUUGAUUCGAGCUCCGGCUCGACUCUCCCACCAAUGUGUACCUACCUCUGUUGCUUUGGCGGGCCGCGGUCCUCCGCACGGCGCCCUUCGGGGGGCUGGCCAGCGCCCGCCAGAGGACCAUAAAACUCAGUCAGUGAACUUUGCAGUCUGAGAAACAAGUUAAUAAACUAAAACUUUAACAACGGAUCUCUUGGUUCUGGCAUCGAUGAAGAACGCAGCGAAAUGCAUAAGUAAUGUGAAUUGCAGAAUUCAGUGAAUCAUCGAAUCUUUGAACGACAUUGCGCCCCUUGGUAUUCCGAGGGGCAUGCCUGUUCGAGCGUCAUUUCAACCCUCAAGCUCUGCUUGGUAUUGGGCUCCGUCCUCCACGGACGCGCCUUAAAGACCUCGGCGGUGGCGUCUUGCCUCAAGCGUAGUAGAAAACACCUCGCUUUGGAGCGCACGGCGUCGCCCGCCGGACGAACCUUUGAAUUAUUUCUCAAGGUUGACCUCGGAUCAGGUAGGGAUACCCGCUGAACUUAA
rnacentral:rRNA from 1 species